GAUGAACGCUGGCGGCGUGCCUAAUACAUGCAAGUCGAGCGAACAGACGAGGAGCUUGCUCCUCUGACGUUAGCGGCGGACGGGUGAGUAACACGUGGAUAACCUACCUAUAAGACUGGGAUAACUUCGGGAAACCGGAGCUAAUACCGGAUAAUAUAUUGAACCGCAUGGUUCAAUAGUGAAAGACGGUUUUGCUGUCACUUAUAGAUGGAUCCGCGCCGCAUUAGCUAGUUGGUAAGGUAACGGCUUACCAAGGCGACGAUGCGUAGCCGGUCUGAGAGCAUGAUCAGCCACACUGGAACUGGGACACGCUCCAGACUCCUACGGGAGGCAGCAGGGGGGAAUAUGGGACAAUGGGCGCAAGCCUGAUCCAGCCAUACCGCGUGGGUGAAGAAGGCCUUCGGGUUGUAAAGCCCUUUUGUUGGGAAAGAAAAGCAGCAGGUUAAUACCCCGCUGUUCUGCCGGUACCCAAAGAAUAAGCACCGGCUAACUUCGUG
rnacentral:rRNA from 1 species